rnacentral:snRNA from 1 species
GGAUGUUAGGGCAAUCUGGCUGCAACAUCUGUCACCCCAUUGAUUGUCAGGGUCAAUUCAGCUGAUGUGACUGGCUCAGCUGGGCAGGUGCUCCCUUCCUCCUUUUCCAGUAUAUGGCUGUGUUCACCUGUUAGAACCUCCAAACAAGCUUUCAAGGCCUCUCUCUAACAGCAACACAAGUUCUUAGACCUCAAGUCAUCUCUUCAGCCCUCAGGGCAUCCUUAAAG